UACGGAAGGGGGCUAGCGUUGCUCGGAAUCACUGGGCGUAAAGGGUGCGUAGGCGGGUCUUUAAGUCAGGGGUGAAUCCUGGAGCUCAACUCCAGAACUGCCUUUGAUACUGAAGAUCUUGAGUUCGGGAGAGGUGAGUGGAACUGGCGAGUGUAGAGGUGAAAUUCGGUAGAUAUUCGCAAGAACACCAGUGGCGAAAGGCGGCUCACUGGCCCGGUACUGACGCUGAGGUGCG
rnacentral:rRNA from 1 species